rnacentral:rRNA from 1 species
GGUUAAGCGACUAAGCGUACACGGUGGAUGCCCUGGCAGUCAGAGGCGAUGAAGGACGUGCUAAUCUGCGAUAAGCGUCGGUAAGGUGAUAUGAACCGUUAUAACCGGCGAUUUCCGAAUGGGGAAACCCAGUGUGUUUCGACACACUAUCAUUAACUGAAUCCAUAGGUUAAUGAGGCGAACCGGGGGAACUGAAACAUCUAAGUACCCCGAGGAAAAGAAAUCAACCGAGAUUCCCCCAGUAGCGGCGAGCGAACGGGGAGCAGCCCAGAGCCUGAAUCAGUGUGUGUGUUAGUGGAAGCGUCUGGAAAGGCGCGCGAUACAGGGUGACAGCCCCGUACACAAAAAUGCACAUGCUGUGAGCUCGAUGAGUAGGGCGGGACACGUGGUAUCCUGUCUGAAUAUGGGGGGACCAUCCUCCAAGGCUAAAUACUCCUGACUGACCGAUAGUGAACCAGUACCGUGAGGGAAAGGCGAAAAGAACCCCGGCGAGGGGAGUGAAAAAGAACCUGAAACCGUGUACGUACAAGCAGUGGGAGCACGCUUAGGCGUGUGACUGCGUACCUUUUGUAUAAUGGGUCAGCGACUUAUAUUCUGUAGCAAGGUUAACCGAAUAGGGGAGCCGAAGGGAAACCGAGUCUUAACUGGGCGUUAAGUUGCAGGGUAUAGACCCGAAACCCGGUGAUCUAGCCAUGGGCAGGUUGAAGGUUGGGUAACACUAACUGGAGGACCGAACCGACUAAUGUUGAAAAAUUAGCGGAUGACUUGUGGCUGGGGGUGAAAGGCCAAUCAAACCGGGAGAUAGCUGGUUCUCCCCGAAAGCUAUUUAGGUAGCGCCUCGUGAAUUCAUCUCCGGGGGUAGAGCACUGUUUCGGCAAGGGGGUCAUCCCGACUUACCAACCCGAUGCAAACUGCGAAUACCGGAGAAUGUUAUCACGGGAGACACACGGCGGGUGCUAACGUCCGUCGUGAAGAGGGAAACAACCCAGACCGCCAGCUAAGGUCCCAAAGUCAUGGUUAAGUGGGAAACGAUGUGGGAAGGCCCAGACAGCCAGGAUGUUGGCUUAGAAGCAGCCAUCAUUUAAAGAAAGCGUAAUAGCUCACUGGUCGAGUCGGCCUGCGCGGAAGAUGUAACGGGGCUAAACCAUGCACCGAAGCUGCGGCAGCGACACUAUGUGUUGUUGGGUAGGGGAGCGUUCUGUAAGCCUGUGAAGGUGUACUGUGAGGUAUGCUGGAGGUAUCAGAAGUGCGAAUGCUGACAUAAGUAACGAUAAAGCGGGUGAAAAGCCCGCUCGCCGGAAGACCAAGGGUUCCUGUCCAACGUUAAUCGGGGCAGGGUGAGUCGACCCCUAAGGCGAGGCCGAAAGGCGUAGUCGAUGGGAAACAGGUUAAUAUUCCUGUACUUGGUGUUACUGCGAAGGGGGGACGGAGAAGGCUAUGUUGGCCGGGCGACGGUUGUCCCGGUUUAAGCGUGUAGGCUGGUUUUCCAGGCAAAUCCGGAAAAUCAAGGCUGAGGCGUGAUGACGAGGCACUACGGUGCUGAAGCAACAAAUGCCCUGCUUCCAGGAAAAGCCUCUAAGCAUCAGGUAACAUCAAAUCGUACCCCAAACCGACACAGGUGGUCAGGUAGAGAAUACCAAGGCGCUUGAGAGAACUCGGGUGAAGGAACUAGGCAAAAUGGUGCCGUAACUUCGGGAGAAGGCACGCUGAUAUGUAGGUGAAGUCCCUCGCGGAUGGAGCUGAAAUCAGUCGAAGAUACCAGCUGGCUGCAACUGUUUAUUAAAAACACAGCACUGUGCAAACACGAAAGUGGACGUAUACGGUGUGACGCCUGCCCGGUGCCGGAAGGUUAAUUGAUGGGGUUAGCGCAAGCGAAGCUCUUGAUCGAAGCCCCGGUAAACGGCGGCCGUAACUAUAACGGUCCUAAGGUAGCGAAAUUCCUUGUCGGGUAAGUUCCGACCUGCACGAAUGGCGUAAUGAUGGCCAGGCUGUCUCCACCCGAGACUCAGUGAAAUUGAACUCGCUGUGAAGAUGCAGUGUACCCGCGGCAAGACGGAAAGACCCCGUGAACCUUUACUAUAGCUUGACACUGAACAUUGAGCCUUGAUGUGUAGGAUAGGUGGGAGGCUUUGAAGUGUGGACGCCAGUCUGCAUGGAGCCGACCUUGAAAUACCACCCUUUAAUGUUUGAUGUUCUAACGUGGACCCGUAAUCCGGGUUGCGGACAGUGUCUGGUGGGUAGUUUGACUGGGGCGGUCUCCUCCUAAAGAGUAACGGAGGAGCACGAAGGUUGGCUAAUCCUGGUCGGACAUCAGGAGGUUAGUGCAAUGGCAUAAGCCAGCUUGACUGCGAGCGUGACGGCGCGAGCAGGUGCGAAAGCAGGUCAUAGUGAUCCGGUGGUUCUGAAUGGAAGGGCCAUCGCUCAACGGAUAAAAGGUACUCCGGGGAUAACAGGCUGAUACCGCCCAAGAGUUCAUAUCGACGGCGGUGUUUGGCACCUCGAUGUCGGCUCAUCACAUCCUGGGGCUGAAGUAGGUCCCAAGGGUAUGGCUGUUCGCCAUUUAAAGUGGUACGCGAGCUGGGUUUAGAACGUCGUGAGACAGUUCGGUCCCUAUCUGCCGUGGGCGCUGGAGAAUUGAGGGGGGCUGCUCCUAGUACGAGAGGACCGGAGUGGACGCAUCACUGGUGUUCGGGUUGUCAUGCCAAUGGCACUGCCCGGUAGCUAAAUGCGGAAGAGAUAAGUGCUGAAAGCAUCUAAGCACGAAACUUGCCCCGAGAUGAGUUCUCCCUGACUCCUUGAGAGUCCUGAAGGAACGUUGAAGACGACGACGUUGAUAGGCCGGGUGUGUAAGCGCAGCGAUGCGUUGAGCUAACCGGUACUAAUGAACCGUGAGGCUUAACCUU